rnacentral:rRNA from 1 species
GAUGAACGCUGGCGGCGUGCCUAAUACAUGCAAGUCGAGCGAACAGACGAGGAGCUUGCUCCUCUGACGUUAGCGGCGGACGGGUGAGUAACACGUGGAUAACCUACCUAUAAGACUGGGAUAACUUCGUGAAACCGGAGCUAAUACCGGAUAAUAUAUUGAACCGCAUGGUUCAAUAGUGAAAGACGGUUUUCCUGUCACUUAUAGAUGGUUCCGCGCCGCAUUAGCUAGUUGGUAAGGUAACGGCUUACCAAGGCGACGAUGCGUAGCCGACCUGAGAGGAUGAUCGGCCACACUGGAACUGAGACACGGUCCAGACUCCUACGGGAGGCAGCAGUAGGGAAUCUUCCGCAAUGGGCGAAAGCCUGACGGAGCAACGCCGCGUGAGUGAUGAAGGUCUUCGGAUCGUAAAACUCUGUUAUUAGGGAAGAACAAAUGUGUAAGUAACUAUGCACGUCUUGACGGUACCUAAUCAGAAAGCCACGGCUAACUACGUG